GAGUUUGAUCCUGGCUCAGAUUGAACGCUGGCGGCAUGCCUUACACAUGCAAGUCGAACGACGCUAGGGGCAACUCUAGCGAGUGGCGAACGGGUGAGUAAUACAUCGGAACGUGUCCUGUCGUGGGGGAUAACCAGUCGAAAGACUGGCUAAUACCGCAUGACCUCGCAAGAGAAAAGCGGAGGACCGCAAGGCUUCGCGCGAUUGGAGCGGCCGAUGUCGGAUUAGCUAGUUGGCGGGGUAAUGGCCCACCAAGGCGACGAUCCGUAGCUGGUUUGAGAGAACGACCAGCCACACUGGGACUGAGACACGGCCCAGACUCCUACGGGAGGCAGCAGUGGGGAAUUUUGGACAAUGGGGGCAACCCUGAUCCAGCCAUGCCGCGUGUGUGAAGAAGGCCUUCGGUUGUAA
rnacentral:rRNA from 1 species